UACGUAGGGUGCGAGCGUUAAUCGGAAUACUGGGCGUAAAGCGUGCGCAGGCGGUUCGUUGUGUCGGCGGUGAAAGCCCCGGGCUCAACCUGGGAAUGGCCGUUGAAACUGGCGAACUGGAGUGUGGCAGAGGGGGUGGAAUUCCGCGUGUAGCAGUGAAAUGCGUAGAGAUGCGGAGGAACACCGAUGGCGAAGGCAGCCCCCUGGGCUGACACUGACGCUCAGGCACGAAAGCGUGGGGAGCAAACAGG
rnacentral:rRNA from 1 species